ACGUCAGUCGAACCGUUGUCUAUUCUGAUAUAAAGUCACUGACAGGUGAUUUAAGACCUCAAGAGUUAUUACCAAUAUCGCCCAACUAGGUCGUGCAAAUAAUCUAGUAUCGGUGGCUUAAUAGAAAUAUGCUUCCAUUUCGUAGGAAUUCUGGAAAUUCUGGAACACGGAGAACUAAAGACAUGCAUUAAACAAAAGAUGGGCGUAUUGUUAGGCAUUCUUGAGGACCAGCCAAUGGAGAAAAAGGUGCAAAUCUUGCUGAUUGUUUUGCUUGUUUUGAUAACAAGUGCGCCGGCUGCAAAUCGUAAGUAAAAAUCAACUAAC